rnacentral:misc_RNA from 1 species
AGAAAAUACAAACAUGGCUGAUUCACGCUCUUAUAUGAUUGAGAAAGGCUAUGAAGAAUAUAAAAAAGCAAAGCAUCUUAGCGAAGAAGAAUCUAAGAAAGACCCUGAAAAUGAGCCUUUCAAGUCUAAAUACAAAGCCAGAGAUAUAUUGCUUUCCUUGCGUGAUAAAAUGAAUGCAUUUUUAACUGACACGAAUGAUUUACUUACAAAAAUUUUAAUCGCAGGACUAAAUCUUCAACUGGGAGUGAAUCAUCUUGAAACAGAAGAACUAGGAGUCGGUGAGGAAUACCUUACUAAAGUUUUAAAAGACAUUGAGGAUCAUAAAUUGAACAAGAGUUCUUGUAACAUAUACCAAGAAGCCCUCAAUAAUUUGGGGAUUCUAUGGAGCCACCGAGGAGAAUUUGGUUUGGACGAAGCCGUGAAGUAUUUAGAACUAGCCGAAAAUCUUUACAAUGAUUUUAAACAUGAAGUAGGUGGAGCCCCUCAUUCAGUUGAAGAACUUUUCCGGCCUGAAGGUGAGGAUAAUGAUCUUAUUGAACACGAUCGUGAUGUACACUUUGAAAAUACUUACACGCAUACAAUGUUUUAUUUGGCACAAGUCUAUGCUGGCAAAGGCAAUAGAGAACUUUCUGCUAAGUACUGUCACCAAACUUUACUUAGACAACUAGAAUCAAACCAGUAUAACCCAUUAGAAUGGGCUAUAAAUGCUGCUAGUCUUUCUCAAUACUAUCUUAGUGUGGAUGAUUAUAUGAUGGCAAGGCAUUGCCUCGCUAGUUCUUGCUACAUAUUACAGGAAGCUGAUGACUCUACCAUUGAAAGUACUAACGACAGCAUUGCACGGCGCAAAGCUGACAUCAGCCGCUGUUGGGCAAAAUAUGGUUUAUCGCUUCUUGAGUCCUCUAAAGAAUUCUCUAUAAUUAAUCUUAUCGGACAUUUGGACAGAACUGAUUUGGUAAAUGAGAAAAAAAAUUCAUCGGAAGCUGACCAUAAUGCAGAUAAAGAGCCGAUUGCUGAAACUGAAACUCCCGAAAAUUCGGAUAAAAAUACAGCUCGAUUCAAACUGGAAUUAACAGAUUUGGAAGAAAAUAUGCCUGCAAAAUUUGUAAAAGAUUUCCCGUCUGCACGAGAAGUAUUUAUUGCUGUUCAAAAGUGGUUAAACGAUGCGAAAGAAUAUUAUGUUAUUGACAGCUAUUGCAAUGAUUAUGUUGAAAUAAUGAGGGAUCAUAGUAAGGCUUAUAAACUGUUAGCGUGUUUUGAAACUGACCAAAAUCGACAGUGUAAGAUGCAAAAGCGUCGCAUAGAUUUACUAAGUAAACUACUCGAAGCACUUAAUGCGCAGCAUUAUCUCCACGUUUGUCGUCAAUUAAUGUACGAACUUGCAGAAACAUACUCCAGUUUAUUAGAUAUCAAGGUAAACAUAUUUCAAAAUGAGGAAUCUUCGAGGACACCACAUGCAAUUAAAAAAAUUAAUUUAUUAGUCUCUCAAAGCAUCGACCAUUACAUGAAAUACAUCCAUUCAAUCAAAGGUGGUCGUGCACAAUUGCCAGAUAAGCUCGACGAAUCUGAUGUUCGUCCAACAUUAAUUGCAUAUUUUUGUGUCGGCAACCUUUACACAAAAUUCAUUUGUUCAGAUGCGGAGAUGAAAAUCAAAAAUAUUGAAAGAAGGCUUGCAUGUUUCAAAUGUAUUGUUGAUUAUUGUCGUAAGGACCCAAAGGGAUCGGAAUUUAUUGCUAAUGAAUUGCAUAUAUGUGAGGAAAUGGUGGAGCUUUUGCCCAGAAAAAUAGAACAACUUAAAAUGGACCCGUCAGCUGAUAUCACAUGUUAAUCUUAUGUUUUUCUUCUAUGGUAAACUGAUUUUAUUUCUUUUUAAACGAUAUUUAUUUUAAUGAAGGCAAUCCUUCGAUAUAACUCGACAAAACCAAAACAAACACUCGGCUGUUUUCGUGACAACUCGACAAUUCACUUCGGAUAUCUUCGUGACCUCUGUGUGUGUGUGCUUGUUCUUGUCAGUUUGUGUCAACUGUCACGGAGGUCACGAAGAUAUCCGAAGUGAAUUGUCGAGUUGUUACAGAAACAGCCAAGUGUUUGUUUUGGUUUUGUCGAGUUGUCUUUUUAAUUGGGACUUUUAAAUAAGUUGUAAAUGCAGUUAAUAAUUCAUUGGGUGUGAUGAACAGAUAUAACUUCGAAGUUAAAUAGCAACUGUAUCAACCUGGGAGAACAUGCGAAAACCAUGAGUAAUGUCCCUUCUCUGUGGUAGUUUGUAGGACUGCGGAAAGGUUGUUAUUUCUAUGUACAUAUUCUUUUAUUCGUUUAUUUUUGCUUUAGUCCUACUUGGAGCACCGUCUGCUUGUUCCUCUCUGUGUGUGUGUGUGUACGGAUUUUACGUACACACAUGUAGCAGGUUUAUAUCCUCACCUGUACCUUGAGAUAUAUAACAACAUCUAUUAGGCAACAAACCCUUACUGGACUGGCCCUGCCAUCAACUUGCAGUGAAAUAGUUUUCCCAUCUGAACUGACUAAAUCUUUUAAAGAUAAGAUGAUCAAUUUCUGCUUUAUGACUCAGGACCAGUUGAAAAGCGUAUUGUGAUAUUUGCGACAAGAUGUAAUUUACAGUGUUUAUCACUAUGCAGUCCCUUUGUUAUUUCACUAGUUAUAUACCCUACAUGGAUUAAAAGAGAAAGCUUCGCUACUGCCCGUGUUUGUGUUAUUGCUGCACAAAAUAGAAGAAGCAAAGAAGUUCUAUCAAGAUACUGCAAAACAAAUAAAAAAGUCUUGUUCAAAAUUUUGAUCCACAAAAUAUUGACUACAUUCGUGGUAUUGCACACAACCGUUCUUUUAUGAUUUAAUGAGUCCUUUCAGUAAAUACUAUCUUUUGUUUUUUAUGCAUUUUGUAUUAAAAUAGUCCUAAUAUAUUUAUAAAUAGUUAACAGCUAGUUAUAAACCCAAAGAAUUAUAAAUUCUGGAUAAAAAAUAUGAAUUCAUCAUAAAAGAAAAUUUAAAAAUUUUUUUAGUCAGAUAGUGUUUUAGACAAAUUGUUUCUAGAUUGAAACUGUUUUAGACAAAUUGCAUUUAGAUUAAUUGUAUUUUAGACGAAUUGUUUUAGAUAAACUCGCCUUGACCCCCCCCCCCCCAUAUAUAUAUUUCAAUAGAAAUAUGGUAACAAAAGGGUUAAAUGUCACAGAAACUGGAAUAUGGUCCUGACCUGUGGGUUAGAGACAGACUUUACCUUAAUUUAAUAUUGUAUAAUAAAUUACUGUCAUUUUGA